rnacentral:rRNA from 1 species
AUUGAACGCUGGCGGCAGGCCUAACACAUGCAAGUCGAGCGGUAGCACAGAGAGCUUGCUCUCGGGUGACGAGCGGCGGACGGGUGAGUAAUGUCUGGGAAACUGCCUGAUGGAGGGGGAUAACUACUGGAAACGGUAGCUAAUACCGCACAACGUCGCAAGACCAAAGAGGGGGACCUUCGGGCCUCUUGCCAUCAGAUGUGCCCAGAUGGGAUUAGCUAGUAGGUGGGGUAACGGCUCACCUAGGCGACGAUCCCUAGCUGGUCUGAGAGGAUGACCAGCCACACUGGAACUGAGACACGGUCCAGACUCCUACGGGAGGCAGCAGUGGGGAAUAUUGCACAAUGGGCGCAGGCCUGAUGCAGCCAUGCCGCGUGUAUGAAGAAGGCCUUCGGGUUGUAAAGUACUUUCAGCGGGGAGGAAGGUGUUGAGGUUAAUAACCUCAGCAAUUGACGUUACCCGCAGAAGAAGCACCGGCUAACUCCGUGCCAGCAGCCGCCGUAAAAC